rnacentral:rRNA from 1 species
AUUGAACGCUGGCGGCAUGCCUUACACAUGCAAGUCGAACGGUAACAGGUCUUCGGAUGCUGACGAGUGGCGAACGGGUGAGUAAUACAUCGGAACGUGCCCGAGAGUGGGGGAUAACGAGGCGAAAGCUUUGCUAAUACCGCAUACGAUCUCAGGAUGAAAGCAGGGGACCGCAAGGCCUUGCGCUCACGGAGCGGCCGAUGGCAGAUUAGGUAGUUGGUGGGAUAAAAGCUUACCAAGCCGACGAUCUGUAGCUGGUCUGAGGGGACGACCAGCCACACUGGGACGAGGACACGGCCCAGACUCCUACGGGAGGCAGCAGUGGGGAAUUGUGGACAAGGGGCGCAAGCCUGAUCCAGCCAUGCCGAGUGCAAGAUGAAGGCCUUCGGGUUGUAAACUGCUUUUGUACGGAACGAAAAGACUCCUUCUAAUAAAGGGGGUCCAUGACGGUACCGUAAGAAUAAGCACCGGCUAACUACGUGCCAGCAGCCGCCGUAACAC